GUGGCUCAGUGGUAGAGUGCUUGCCUUGCAUGCAAUAGACCCUGGGUUCGAUUCCUCAGC
rnacentral:tRNA from 1 species